UGCCUUUGUGUUGCUCAUUCUUCAUUUUAUUGAAUUAUUGAAGUGUCAAAAAAGGCAGAAAGGAAAUCUUUUGCAUUGUAUUUUUCACUCUUGUUCCCAGUACUUGAGUGUUGCCAGAUGCAGAAGAGACAUUG
ensembl:snoRNA SNORA13 small nucleolar RNA, H/ACA box 13